rnacentral:ncRNA from 1 species
UUACAAGUUAUGAUGGAAAGAAGUAAUUAAGUACGUUGCAAAGAGAGUCAGUGGUUGGUGUAAACUGUCUGAUGUGCUUUAUGAAAUACAUUCCUGAGCUGUAGGCUGAAAUUUUUUAAAGUAAGCUGAUCCGAGUAACUCUCGUUAAGAGUAAGAGAUGAGCAAUAGAUUUAUUUGUUCAAAUAGGGUGGUACCACGAUUAUUUCGUCCCUUAA